UUUUAGAUAAAUGGAUAAAAAAUUUAAAUAAUUAAUUAAAUUUUAAACAUAAAUUAUUUUGUAAAAAAUUAUUAAAUGUAAGUUAGAGUACAAAAUUAUUUAAAAAAUUGAUCAUUUUCACCAUUUUCUCUUAAUAAUGUAUGAUAUACGAGCUUCACAUAUCCACAGAACUUUUUAAAUUAAUUUAUAAAAAGUUAUUAAAACCCGAUUAUAUAUAUAUAUAUGUAUAUCGAUUAGAGAGUAUUUGUUUUUUCAUCAGUUGGUAAUAACAUUUUUUUUAAUAGGUAUCGAUCUGUAAAAAAAGAUAGUUUUUGUUGAUUAAUGUUUGUUUGUAUGUGCUCCAAUGUCACGUUUAAGGAACCGGACUUAGUUUAAGCCAACGCACACUGCAAAACUGGCCUUGUCUUAUUCACUGGUCUUCACUCUUGUGGCCACGUCUUGGGCCCUUGGCACCCUCUAACCCCCUUCUCCCAAUAAAAAAUAUAUAAAUCACUCCAUUUAUUAUUUGGACUCAUCGUAUUCCAACAAGUGAUGAUAUCCAAAAUAUAUUAAAAAAAUUGGUGAAAUAGUUUUUUUCUGGUAAUAACUUCAAUUUAUUUAUUUAUUUGUAAAAUAGUCUUCCCCAACCAUACUCAUCCAGUCUGACAUAUACUUGAAAUCAUUUUGAAAAAAAAUAUUCAAAAAAUCCCUUUUAAAGUGCCAUGAAAAAUGGGUAUAUUUUCACCUGUAACUCUUAAUGAAAACCAAAUAUAUCCACUUAUAUGCAUUGAAGAACAUUAAUGUUACAAUAAAUACAUGAAUGAAUGAAUGGCAGUUCUUUGAGCACCAAAAGUAUAUUAAAAUUUGAACAUUCAUUUAAUCAUGUUAUUGUGAUUAAGAAAAUUUAUCAUAAAAGAAUGAUUUUAUUAUUUUGAUUCAAUAUUAUAUUUGUAAUCAUAAUUUUACAAAUGUCUACAAUAUACUAGGGAUGUCCUUGUGAUUAUUUAUUUUUUACUACAGCAAAAGAAUAUAUAUAUAUAUAACACAAGUAAAAUGAAAGUUUAUAAUAAAAGAAAAAGUGGGGUUUUGAUAGGGAUCACCCUUUCCAAGGGAAUAAGUAAAAUCCAAAAGAGGGUACCUGUAAAUCCCAGGCAGCUUUGGCUGUAUCUAUGGAACUAUUUGUUAAAUACGCCUUGGCUGCCGUCUUCUCCUCGACCUGUACUACUCUACUCUCUCUUUCUCUAUGGACUUUCUCUUGUUUUAGCUACCUUCAUAGCUAUUGUCUCUCCUCACUAUAUAUCUUUAUUAAUUAACCUUUUUUAUUUUUAAAUCCACCAGUUCUGCUCUACUACCUUGUAUCUUCUAGUUCCAAACCCAUGGCCAAGAAUAUAUAUACUACUAGCUAUACAGUACUAUUAAGCACAAUUAAGCUCUCAUCAAACACACACACACACACAUAUAUAUAUAUAUAUAGAGAGAGAGAGAGAGAGAUCAUCAUGUAUGGUUAAUUAAUUUGCUGUAGCUCCUUCUCCUUUUGUGUAUAAUAGGUUUUUGCAGGGGCAUGAUCUAGGACAUUUAUGCUCGGCUAGCUAGGCCGGCUCCUUUCAUCACUUGAUAAUAUUGUACGUACAAAAAGAUGUAUGGCUGUGAAGUAAUCCUUCUGAACCGGGGCGUUUAUUAUUGUGGACCGCUUUUCAUCAUUUUUGCUUUGUCAUUAUUAAUUCUCUCCAGCUGCCAAAUAGUUACAUAUAUAUAUAUAUAUAUAUUAUAUAUCGUGCACUCAUAUAAUCAAAUAAUCGUUUAUAUGUUGUACCUAUUUAAUUUCUUCGCUUUCCUAUAUAUAUAUACGUGGAACUAAUAAAUAUAUCCUAUAAUCUUUGCUUUACAA